AGUGAACGCUGGCGAUAGGCCUAACACAUGCAAGUCGAACGGCCGCACAGUAAGAGCUUGCUCUUACGGGUGGCGAGUGGCGGACGGGUGAGGAAUACAUCGGAAUCUACUUUUUCGUGGGGGAUAACGUAGGGAAACUUACGCUAAUACAGCAUACGACCUACGGGUGAAAGCAGGGGAUCUUCGGACCUUGCGCGAUUGAAUGAGCUGAUGUCUGAUUAGCUAGUUGGCGGGGUAAAGGCCCACCAAGGCGACGAUCCGUAGCGGGUCUGAGAGGAUGUCCAGCCACACUGGAACGGGGACACGGUCCAGACUCCUACGGGAGGCAGCAGUGGGGAAUAUUGGACAAUGGGCGCAAUCCUGAUCCAGCCAUACCGCGUGGGUGAAGAAGGCUUUCGGGUUGUAAAGCCCUUUUGUUGGGAAAGAAAAGCAGCAGGUUAAUACCCCGCUGUUCUGACGGUACCCUAAGAAUAAGCACCGGCUAACUUCGUG
rnacentral:rRNA from 1 species